GGACCCGGUACGAUGUCGACUUGGAGGUUGUGCCCUUGAGGCGUGGCUUCCGGAGCUAACGCGUUAAGUCGACCGCCUGGGGAGUACGGCCGCAAGGUUAAAACUCAAAUGAAUUGACGGGGGCCCGCACAAGCGGUGGAGCAUGUGGUUUAAUUCGAUGCAACGCGAAGAACCUUACCUGGUCUUGACAUCCACGGAAGUUUUCAGAGAUGAGAAUGUGCCUUCGGGAACCGUGAGACAGGUGCUGCAUGGCUGUCGUCAGCUCGUGUUGUGAAAUGUUGGGUUAAGUCCCGCAACGAGCGCAACCCUUAUCCUUUGUUGCCAGCGGUCCGGCCAGGAACUCAAAGGAGACUGCCAGUGAUAAACUGGAGGAAGGUGGGGAUGACGUCAAGUCAUCAUGGCCCUUACGACCAGGGCUACACACGUGCUACAAUGGCGCAUACAAAGAGAAGCGACCUCGCGAGAGCAAGCGGACCUCAUAAAGUGCGUCGUAGUCCGGAUUGGAGUCUGCAACUCGACUCCAUGAAGUCGGAAUCGCUAGUAAUCGUGGAUCAGAAUGCCACGGUGAAUACGUUCCCGGGCCUUGUACACACCGCCCGUCACACCAUGGGAGUGGGUUGCAAAAGAAGUAGGUAGCUUAACCUUCGGGAGGGCGCUUACCACUUUGUGAUUCAUGACUGGGGUGAAGUCGUACAAGGGUAACAAAUAA
rnacentral:rRNA from 1 species